GCCCAAUAAUCGCACGUGCCUGUGGUUGCGUGCCGACCGGUGGGGCUUCGGACAAGAGGCCGAAGCGACGCCCAAGAUCCUCCGCAAGAGGGUCCCAGGAGUUCGGGAGCGAUCCCGAAAAGGUCGGCAGCCGGAAAGCGAAACCGGUGAACUCCGUCUCCGCGGAGGACGCGACUUGAAGCAACGACGUAGCGGGCUUUU
rnacentral:sRNA from 1 species